UAGCCCUCAUCAGGAGGCAACCAGGGGGUGUGUCCUGACUUUGGUCACUGUCUGGCUGGGGAGACACCAGGGCUGACCCUUGGACUGAGGUGAGACCUCUUGAUUGCCCCCAGUGGGAGAAGGGCAUGGAGCCCCAGGAAGGAGGGAAGGAAGAAGGAAAGGAAGGAAGGGAGAAAAAAGAGAAGAGAGAGAGAAUGAGAGAGAGAGAGAGAGAGAGAGAGAUAGGUUGGACUUCAGCAGACAAAGAACCCGGCCAACAAUAAAACAAAACCCAGAGAAGAAGGAAGUUCCCCAGGAGGAAUUUGGGCACUGUGUCAACUUGAUAAGGACAAGGUGCAAUGGAAGCCACACUCGAAGAUGAGAUGAGCCUGUUCAUCUCAGCAGCCAGUGGCAGAGGGGGAGACCACAGAACUCCAGAAGCAAGCGGAGAGCCCACACGCCAUACAGUUAUGACUCAAUGAGCCCAAGCCAGGAGGAACAGGAGAGGCAUGGCUGAAAUUGGAUUAUAGACACAGAUGGCUGGCUCUGACCAGCACAGCAAAGGCACAACAAGAUCCAGGCACCGGAGGAAGGUAUUUAGAUAUGUGAUGAUGAAGCAAAGAAAGAACUGUGCACGGAGUCCCAGGAAAACAAGACACAGGAUGCAUUCCAUCCAGAUAUG
rnacentral:lncRNA from 1 species